rnacentral:rRNA from 1 species
CGCAUCUGUGCAUGCAGCAUAUCAAUAAGCGGAGGAAAAGAAACUAACAAGGAUUCCCCUAGUAACGGCGAGUGAAGCGGGAAGAGCUCAAAUUUGAAAUCUUAAAGGGUUUCCCUUUACGAAUUGUAGUUUAAAGAAGUGUUUUCUGUUGAGGUUUUGGUAAAAGUUCCUUGGAAUAGGACAUCAUAGAGGGUGAGAAUCCCGUAUUUGACCUUUACUUUCAACUUUGUGAUACACUUUCAAAGAGUCGGAUUGUUUGGGAAUGCAGUCCAAAAUGGGUGGUAAAUUUCAUCUAAAGCUAAAUAUUGGCGAGAGACCGAUAGCGAACAAGUACCGUGAGGGAAAGAUGAAAAGAACUUUGAAAAGAGAGUUAAACAGUACGUGAAAUUGUCAAAAGGGAAGCGUUUGACACCAGUGUUGUUUUUCUGAAAAUCAAUUAAAGAACUGUUUAUGCUAAGUUGUUUAGACUUUAUCAGCUAUCUGUUUAGUUUUGAGCUUUUCUUUAAUGCACUUUUCAGUUAACAAGUCAACAUCAAUUUCUUUUGCUGUAAAAAAGCUUGAGGAAGGUGGCUUGAGAUUCGUCUUAAGUGUUCAUAGCCUCUUGCCUAUGCAGUCGGAGAGAUUGAGGUCUGCAACGUAGAUCCUUCGGGGCUAAAUGCAUUUGUGCUAAGUUAUAGCAUUUUAUAGACAACUUGUUGACUAUGAUUUGUCUUGUAGCUUACUCGCUUAUGUUAUAUUACCUACGCUUAGGAUGUUGAGUCGUAGAGCACGCA